GAAAUGCGAUACGUAAUGUGAAUUGCAGAAUUCAGUGAAUCAUCGAAUCUUUGAACGCACAUUGCGCCUUCUGGUAUUCCGGGAGGCAUGCUUGUUUGAGUAUCAGUAAACACCCUCGACUUUUCCUCUCUCUCUCUCUCUCUCUCUCCUCACUUCUCGCGAAGGAAAGGAGGGGGGGGAGGAUAAGAGAUGUGGUUCAAGUUGGACUUGAGCAGUUUCCAAACUCUCUCACUCAAUCUUGAGGGAGAGGUGUACGGAAU
rnacentral:misc_RNA from 1 species